rnacentral:rRNA from 1 species
CCCCUAGAUGUUCUGGGCCGCACGCGCGCUACACUGACUGGUGCAACAAGUGUCGCUCCUUGGCCGAUAGGCCUGGGCAAUCUUUGAACGCCAGUCGUGAUGGGGAUAGAUUCUUGCAAUUUUUGAUCUUCAACGAGGAAUUCCUAGUAAACGCGAGUCAUCAACUCGCAUUGAUUACGUCCCUGCCCUUUGUACACACCGCCCGUCGCACCUACCGAUUGAAUGGUCCGGUGAACCCUCCGGAUCGGCCCGCGCCAACGCAAGUUGAGCAAAGGCCGAGAAGUUGGGUAAACCUUACCAUUUAGAGGAAGGUGAAGUCGUAACA